rnacentral:rRNA from 1 species
GCUCAGUAACACGUGGAUAAUCUGCCCUAUGGUGGAGGAUAACCCCGGGAAACUGGGGAUAAUACUCCAUAAGUCAGGAGUACUGGAAUGUCUCCUAACUGAAAGUUGCGGCGCCAUAGGAUGAAUCUGCGGCCGAUUAGGUAGUUGUUGGGGUAACGGCCCAACAAGCCCGUAAUCGGUACGGGUUGUGGGAGCAAGAGCCCGGAGAUGGAAUCUGAGACACGAUUCCAGGCCCUACGGGGCGCAGCAGGCGCGAAAACUUUACAAUGCAGGAAACUGUGAUAAGGGAACCCCGAGUGCCCGUAAACGCGGGCUGUCCCGGUGUUUAAAACACAUCGGAAGAAAGGGCCGGGCAAGACCGGUGCCAGCCGCCGCGGUAAUACCGGCGGCUCGAGUGGUGACCACUUUUAUUGGGCUUAAAGCGUUCGUAGCUUGAUUUUUAAGUCUCUUGGGAAAUCUCACGGCUUAACUGUGAGGCGUCUAAGAGAUACUGGGAAUCUAGGGACCGGGAGAGGUAAGAGGUACUUCAGGGGUAGAAGUGAAAUUCUGUAAUCCUUGAGGGACCACCGAUGGCGAAGCAUCUUACCAGAACGGCUUCGACAGUGAGGAACGAAAGCUGGGGGAGCGAACGGGAUUAGAUAC